rnacentral:sRNA from 1 species
AAAAUUCUGUGGUGUACGCGUUGUCUAAACGCAGGUUUGCCUUACAGUCUUUUUACUUUGGGACUAGUGUCAUGUCUUCUUUUACAAUAUGCCUUUUCACUUGGUAGUUGGCGACUAGACAGCCGUGUCCCACCUGUUUUACACACAGGUCAACACUGAAUGACAAUUAACGGCACUAACGGAGUUUUC